GGGGUCUCUAGUAACCCACCUGGUCUGACACUGAGGAGACACCUACAGGCUGCUGAUCCCACAGUGAGGGUUCAGGAGAGGGUCUAGGUUUGGGGCUGGGUGUCAGGCAAGAAGGGGUCUCCUGGGAGGUGUCUGUGCCUUCACCUUGUUUCUGCCCUGGGCACCUCGCACUGGGCAGUGCUGGGUCCUUUCUGGACACCCCUAGGGUCCAGCUCUGCACAGGAGGCAACAGAUACAGGAAGGCCCAGGCAGGGAAGUGCUCACCACACUCCUGCCUUUCAUCUGAGUUGUGUCAGGGGUGGGUUCAGUUUCCAGGAGGACUCAUGGUGCCCUGUCCAGCCCACGAGGGCUGGAUUGGUUUAGCCCUCCCUCUGGGCUAAAGCAGAGGGUCCUGUGGACAUUGUGGGCAGGUUUGAUGUACUUGUGUGCUCCUCCAGCACCCUCGGGCACAUGGGGACAGGGUUCUGUGCACUUUCAGUGCCACAUGUGCCCUGGCUGUGAGCAUGUGCUUGCCCUGCAGAAGGCAGAUGUACCAGAGCCUCAGGAUGAGCUUGUGAUGAGCUUGAAGUAGGGGUUUGUGGGGACAGCAGGCAUGGGAGGACCUGGUCCUUCAAGGUGGAGGGCUGGUGGCCUGAGCAGGGCCUACUGCGGCCUCAGUCUGUGGUGCUGGGGGCCCCCAAUGCACGGGAUGAGACCUCCCACAGGGGGCUGGAUCAGAUAAGGUCUUGCGGCUUCUUAUAGGGGUGGUCUCAUCUCCAUCAAAUGUGGCCCCUGAAAGAGGAAGCUCCCCAAGUACUCUCCUAAGAAGAGUCCUGGCCCAGUCUGCCCAGCAUGCUGGCCCUGAGUCCCAGCCACAGCCGUGUGAUGCCACCUCUCAGGCAGGGCAUGGUUUGUUUGCCCUGCAGGGACCUGCCUCUGCCUGUUGUGCAGAGGAAGGGAGCUGGGUCCUUCUGGAGGAGCCAGACCCCUAAGCUGGGGAAGCCAGGCCUUGUAGGGCAGCAGGGUCCCUGGCCUGGGGUCUCCUGUGCACACUUGUCCCAUCAAUCAAGCACUGUAGGAGCAAUUUUAAGGUGGCAAUCUGGGUACACAACAUUUUCUUGUCUUCACGGAAGGAGCAGAGGUGUUCAGAGCCCCCUGGACUGCCCUGAAAACCUCACUAUUCCAGGCCUCUCUGCAGACCCUUCCAAAGGCCAGAACUCCAGGCAGUAGGCUGGGCUGUCACCCUCUUCUCUGAGACCCUACCCCUGUCCUGAGACCUCCCCAUUUCCCCUCAGAUGCCCCAUCCCUUCGGAUUGCCCACCUCCCCUGGGACCCUCCAUGCCCCACAUGCCUUACUUGAUGCUGCAGCACUCUCUCAACAUGGCGUGGCUUCUGAAGAUGUGGCUCACUUCUAGGUCAUUCUGGUGCACAUUCACUGAGGACAUCUUGGCCUGCUUCAUUUUCUAUAGAGUAAGGCCAAGCCUCAGAACAGACACAAGACUCACUGUCAAAACUGCUGUCAUGAAAUAGGGGUUCUGGAAGGAAAGGAGGCUUUUUCUGCAGAAACUUCUCUUCAUUUCCAAAGCCAGGGAAAGUCAGCAGUGCGCAGCUCACCUGUGUUGCCCACGCCACUGUCUGCCCAGGAUUUGUGACUGACCGCUUCCGCCCCCUUGGGGUUGACUUUCCCUCCAUCUGGGUAACUGGGCUUCUGACACAGUCUGGCCUAUGCAUCCUGCUCUGGCUGGGACUGGAAGGACCAGACCUGGUGUUUCCCUGGGUUCUUGGCCUUCACCUUCUCGACAUUCAGUAGGGGUGACCAUGCUGGGCCCCAGACAUCUGUGAGGUUUCCUUUGUAGAUCCAAUGAGACAUCUCUGGACAGAAGAAUGCUCUGGUGAGACAGGCCUCAGGGUGACCCCAAGGGGGAUCCGAACCUAAGGAUUCUGGAAGCUUCCAGCCUUUGGCCUUACGGUUCCUCAGGAGAGGUUCAGUCUGCCUAGGACUGGGCCUCCUUUCCCAUGAAUAAAGAGUGAGCAAGAGCUCAGGUAGUGAGCUCUGAUCAGGAUUUAUUCCUUCCUUUGGGGUGACCAGAAGGUGUUCCUCUUCCUGGCUUAGAAGUGGCCGAGGCCCUAGCAUCAGAUUCCUCCCAGCAAGGUAAUCCUUGCAGGGAUGGGCAGGAGGGCUGGGGAUCAGGCCUGUUGUCCUUUCGGUGAGGACAGUGUGCCCUUCUCUGAGAGGCAGGCAGCACCAGGCAGCAACAAUGGGCACCUGUCCUAAACCCUGAAGAGCGGUCACGGGGGACAUUCACCGCUGUGCCUUCUUGUUCUUCCUAGAUGUAUUCCAGUUGUUAAGCAUUCAUAGCCAUUUAUCUGUGCAUCUGAUGCCCUGAUGUUUUUGCUGUAGAUAAGAAGUGAUGGAGUGAGCUGAGCUGCCAGGCUUCCUGGAGUGAUUCUUGGAUGCUGGGUCAUGUGCUUAGGGGCCCCAAUGUGAACUGGAAGGAGACAGAAUAGGAGAGAACCCAGCCCCUGAUGAGUGGGCACUGGUGGCCUGGCCUCAUGACCACAGGACACACUGUUCCCAGGGCACAGACACCCUGGGCUUUGGUUGGGUCUUGGUCUCCAAGUAGGGCCCUGGUGGGCAGCAGGCAGCGAUUCCUGAGACACUACUGUGAUUCUCAGUGGUGGCUGUGGUAAAACUCUUGCAGGGCUGGAGUUUAGUGUGAGAUUCAGCAGAAACUGUGGCCUCUCCCAGUGACAAUGUGUUACUCCCACUCACUAGCACCCAUGCCCACAGGCCACGGCCUCUGCCUCACCAAACCCCCGCCAAGUCGCACAUCUAUGGAGCAGCUCCCAUGCAGCAGGGUCAGGUUCUUACCUCCGCCUCCAAGGCACAGACAGGGGCAGCUCUGUCUCAAUGUAAGGCCAUGAGGAGACUGAGGACCUGGACCAGGCUGGGGGCCACCCCCUUUCCUGAGCAGGCCUCAGGGAAGGACCAGCCCCAUCCUCAUCUGACCCAGGUCUCAGCCCAGGAGCCCGCAUAGGGAAGAAAGAACAGACAGGGCCUCCAUGCUGGCUGACACUCAGGAGGGGCCGGGGCAAUGGAGCAGAGGGAGCAUGGGGCCAGGCAGAGGCUGCUCAGGAUCCAUGGGGGCUCAGGCUGCACAAUGGGGCUGCCCCUCUUGGGCUGCAUGCAGCAUCCCCUAUGGGAGCUGAGAAAGUCCAGUCCUGAGAUGGGACAGGGCUGCCCAGAAGUGUGUGGCUGGGCCCUGACAGAAGUCUCCCAAAAUGUGACUAUAUUGCCAGGCUCAGUUCCAGGAAUGCUGAGAAGUGCCCAGUACAGCGAGGAUGCACCUUAGUUAUAUAAAAUAAAUGAAUCUGGAGGACUAAAGUACAAUUUAAAGGUUAUAGUUACUAUUUUUAUGUUAUAUACUAGUGAUUUUUGAACAGGGUAAACUUUAGGUGCUUUGAACCAAAAGGAAACUACAUGAGUUCAUGUAUAUGUUAAAUUGUUUGACCACAGUCAUCAUUGAUAUGUAUAUGUAUAUAUAUAUAAUUAUGGGCUCAUUAAAUUUAAAUGCUAUAAAUAGGUAACAAAGAAUAAAGUUAAUUGAAAAACUGCA
rnacentral:lncRNA from 1 species